GGGUUGUGAGGUUAAGCGACUAAGCGUACACGGUGGAUGCCCUGGCAGUCAGAGGCGAUGAAGGACGUGCUAAUCUGCGAUAAGCGCCGGUAAGGUGAUAUGAACCGUUAUAACCGGCGAUUUCCGAAUGGGGAAACCCAGUGUGACUCGUCACACUAUCAUUAACUGAAUCCAUAGGUUAAUGAGGCGAACCGGGGGAACUGAAACAUCUAAGUACCCCGAGGAAAAGAAAUCAACCGAGAUUCCCCCAGUAGCGGCGAGCGAACGGGGAGGAGCCCAGAGCCUGAAUCAGCAUGUGUGUUAGUGGAAGCGUCUGGAAAGGCGCGCGAUACAGGGUGACAGCCCCGUACACAAAAGCGCAUGUGCUGUGAGCUCGAUGAGUAGGGCGGGACACGUGGUAUCCUGUCUGAAUAUGGGGGGACCAUCCUCCAAGGCUAAAUACUCCUGACUGACCGAUAGUGAACCAGUACCGUGAGGGAAAGGCGAAAAGAACCCCGGCGAGGGGAGUGAAAAAGAACCUGAAACCGUGUACGUACAAGCAGUGGGAGCCCCACCACUAAGCCAGUGGUGAACUCCACAUACGCAUCCUUUGCUGAGGAUACGGUUAACGGAGCGAAAGCGACGUUCAACCGCAAAAGAAGCAGAGGGGGCUUAGUGGUGGGGUGACUGCGUACCUUUUGUAUAAUGGGUCAGCGACUUAUAUUCUGUAGCAAGGUUAACCGAAUAGGGGAGCCGGAGGGAAACCGAGUCUUAAUUGGGCGUUAAGUUGCAGGGUAUAGACCCGAAACCCGGUGAUCUAGCCAUGGGCAGGUUGAAGGUUGGGUAACACUAACUGGAGGACCGAACCGACUAAUGUUGAAAAAUUAGCGGAUGACCUGUGGCUGGGGGUGAAAGGCCAAUCAAACCGGGAGAUAGCUGGUUCUCCCCGAAAGCUAUUUAGGUAGCGCCUCGUGAAUUCAUCUCCGGGGGUAGAGCACUGUUUCGGCUAGGGGGCCAUCCCGGCUUACCAACCCGAUGCAAACUGCGAAUACCGGAGAAUGUUAUCACGGGAGACACACGGCGGGUGCUAACGUCCGUCGUGAAGAGGGAAACAACCCAGACCGCCAGCUAAGGUCCCAAAGUCAUGGUUAAGUGGGAAACGAUGUGGGAAGGCCCAGACAGCCAGGAUGUUGGCUUAGAAGCAGCCAUCAUUUAAAGAAAGCGUAAUAGCUCACUGGUCGAGUCGGCCUGCGCGGAAGAUGUAACGGGGCUAAACCAUGCACCGAAGCUGCGGCAGCGACGCUGAUGCGUUGUUGGGUAGGGGAGCGUUCUGUAAGCCUGUGAAGGUGGCCUGUGAGGGUUGCUGGAGGUAUCAGAAGUGCGAAUGCUGACAUAAGUAACGAUAAAGCGGGUGAAAAGCCCGCUCGCCGGAAGACCAAGGGUUCCUGUCCAACGUUAAUCGGGGCAGGGUGAGUCGACCCCUAAGGCGAGGCCGAAAGGCGUAGUCGAUGGGAAACGGGUUAAUAUUCCCGUACUUGGUGUUACUGCGAAGGGGGGACGGAGAAGGCUAUGUUGGCCGGGCGACGGUUGUCCCGGUUUAAGCGUGUAGGUGUGUGUUCCAGGUAAAUCCGGUUCACUUUAACACUGAGGCGUGAUGACGAGGCACUACGGUGCUGAAGCAACAAAUGCCCUGCUUCCAGGAAAAGCCUCUAAGCAUCAGGUAACAUCAAAUCGUACCCCAAACCGACACAGGUGGUCAGGUAGAGAAUACCAAGGCGCUUGAGAGAACUCGGGUGAAGGAACUAGGCAAAAUGGUGCCGUAACUUCGGGAGAAGGCACGCUGACACGUAGGUGAAGUGAUUUACUCAUGGAGCUGAAGUCAGUCGAAGAUACCAGCUGGCUGCAACUGUUUAUUAAAAACACAGCACUGUGCAAACACGAAAGUGGACGUAUACGGUGUGACGCCUGCCCGGUGCCGGAAGGUUAAUUGAUGGGGUCAGCGCAAGCGAAGCUCCUGAUCGAAGCCCCGGUAAACGGCGGCCGUAACUAUAACGGUCCUAAGGUAGCGAAAUUCCUUGUCGGGUAAGUUCCGACCUGCACGAAUGGCGUAAUGAUGGCCAGGCUGUCUCCACCCGAGACUCAGUGAAAUUGAACUCGCUGUGAAGAUGCAGUGUACCCGCGGCAAGACGGAAAGACCCCGUGAACCUUUACUAUAGCUUGACACUGAACAUUGAGCCUUGAUGUGUAGGAUAGGUGGGAGGCUUUGAAGUGUGGACGCCAGUCUGCAUGGAGCCGGCCUUGAAAUACCACCCUUUAAUGUUUGAUGUUCUAACGUGGACCCGUGAUCCGGGUUGCGGACAGUGUCUGGUGGGUAGUUUGACUGGGGCGGUCUCCUCCUAAAGAGUAACGGAGGAGCACGAAGGUUGGCUAAUCCUGGUCGGACAUCAGGAGGUUAGUGCAAUGGCAUAAGCCAGCUUGACUGCGAGCGUGACGGCGCGAGCAGGUGCGAAAGCAGGUCAUAGUGAUCCGGUGGUUCUGAAUGGAAGGGCCAUCGCUCAACGGAUAAAAGGUACUCCGGGGAUAACAGGCUGAUACCGCCCAAGAGUUCAUAUCGACGGCGGUGUUUGGCACCUCGAUGUCGGCUCAUCACAUCCUGGGGCUGAAGUAGGUCCCAAGGGUAUGGCUGUUCGCCAUUUAAAGUGGUACGCGAGCUGGGUUUAGAACGUCGUGAGACAGUUCGGUCCCUAUCUGCCGUGGGCGCUGGAGAACUGAGGGGGGCUGCUCCUAGUACGAGAGGACCGGAGUGGACGCAUCACUGGUGUUCGGGUUGUCAUGCCAAUGGCACUGCCCGGUAGCUAAAUGCGGAAGAGAUAAGUGCUGAAAGCAUCUAAGCACGAAACUUGCCCCGAGAUGAGUUCUCCCUGAGACUUAGAGUCUCCUGAAGGAACGUUGAAGACGACGACGUUGAUAGGCCGGGUGUGUAAGCGCAGCGAUGCGUUGAGCUAACCGGUACUAAUGAACCGUGAGGCUUAACCUUACA
rnacentral:rRNA from 1 species